GAUGAACGCUGGCGGCGUGCUUAAUACAUGCAAGUCGAGCGAACAGACGAGGAGCUUGCUCCUCUGACGUUAGCGGAGGACGGGAGAGUAACACGUGGAUAACCUACCUAUAAGACUGGGAUAACUUCGGGAAACCGGAGAUAAUAGCGGAUAAUAUAUUGAACCGCAUGGGGCAAUAGUGAAAGACGGUUUUGCUGGCACUUAUAGAUGGAUCCGCGCCGCAUUAGCUAGUUGGUAAGGUAACGGCUUACCAAGGCAACGAUGCGUAGCCGACCUGAGGGGGUGAUCGGCCACACGGGAACUGAGACGCGGUCCUGACUCCUACGGGAGGCAGCAGUAGGUAAUCUUCCGCAAUGGGCGAAAGCCUGACGGAGCAACGCCGCGUGAGUGAUGGAGUUCUUCGGAGCGUAAAACUCUGUUAUUGGGGAAGAACAAAUGUGUAAGUAACUGUGCACGUCUUGACGGUACCUAAUCAGAAAGCCCCGGCUAACUACGUG
rnacentral:rRNA from 1 species